UGCACAAAUUAUCUUACAACCUGAAGCAGAUCAAAGUGAGCCCAGGAGUCCUGAUCCAAGCAUUCCUGAACCUCUGCGACCUACCGUUCACUCUUUCUGCAAGAUUUUAACUGCAUUUGAUACAAGUACUCAUGGCGGCUUCUCUGUUCUUCGGAAACUUGCUAACGAAUGCCUUCCUCCAUUGGAUAUGAACCAGUCAACUCCAACCCAGGAAUUGACUGCAAAGGAUCUUCAUGGUUAUGAGUGGCGAUUUAAGCACAUCUUCAGAGGUCAACCCCGCAGGCAUUUGCUUACAACGGGAUGGACUACGUUUGUCACUUCUAAGAGAUUGGUUGGAGGGUAUGCUUUUGUUUUCCUGAGGUAUUUGAGCAGAGGGCUUU